CAGAGGAGCGAGGUCGGAGCGUCUGAUACCUUAAACAUGUCAGAGAGAGUUAGACGGAUUCAGAAGAGUCAGGGUUCAAAUAUUUACAUCCCAGUGCUUUGAGAGUCCAAAAACCACCAUCAGUUUAAUUGCAUCAAUCUGUCCAGGAGGUUUCCAAAAGGACAUUUAAGGAUGCUUUUUAAACAAAGGUACGGUUUCUGUUGGUGCUUCUGCCCGUCUGCCCCUCGCUCAUCCAUAUGUAAAUUAAGCAACAACUUUAAAUGUAAAAAAAAAAAUUUGUAACCUCUCUUCUGUCUGUGUGCAUGAGUGUGUGUCUUUAGAUAGAGCCACCAGAGUUUAAAUAUAAAUUAAGGACCAGUUUUUGUGUAUAUGAGACCCUCUCAACUCUAGAGUCAAACUUCCUGCAGUCCUUCAGUAGGGCUGUCCCGAUAUGAUAUUGAUAUCAAACCUCGCCCCGAAAAAAAAGUCCAAAAAAGACAUUGCAGCUGAGUGCAAAACUUGUCAUGCACAAGUUUGUGUCAAUAUCGGUAUUGGCAAAUACUAAUAGGGUUAUUCCAGUCUCGCUAUCAACAAGCGGCUGCUGGAAGAGAGACGGUGAGUUGUGUUUAGUCUCUUUGCUAAAGAAAUCAGGCAAAGUUAAAAAGAUGUUUGGUGGCUAGUGCUGUGGCUGUGACCCUAUAUGUCCUGUUGAUGAAGUUAGGUGCCGCUUCUCCAAAGGUCCCCACGUCCCUGAAAAAACUCCUGCAGAUAGAAAACACCAGAUCUUCAGAUGUUGAUUACAUGAUCUUGAUUUAGAACCUCAGAUUAUCAGCCCAGAUCAACCAGAUCCAGAUAGAGACUCUUGAAGAUUACUAAAUCUCCAUCCACAUUCUGACUUUUUUCACAACUUUAUUCUCAUAAAAUCAACUAUUUUCUUGACAAACACUGACUUUAUUCUUCAAAUCUUAAAACCUCAUCCUUUGUCAAACCAAAGCCCCACUCUGCUCCAGAUUUAACAGCAUUUUGUGUCCUGAAAAGUUCUGGUAUUUAGUUUUCCUUGUGUUUCUGUUCCCUUUUGUUCCUGUGAUCCAGUCUUGUGAGUUUUCAGUUUGUGUUCAACCCUCCUUUUCUCUGUGUUUUAUUCUUUAGAUCAGUUUUCAGUGUUUAUUUCCUGUUUUAUUUUGUAGGAGUUGAUUCCUUGUGUUUCUAGUCCGGUUUUACUUCCCUAGUUUUCCCUCCCUCGUUAGUCACUCAUGAGUUUCACCUGUGUCUCGUCUGCCUCACCUGUUGCUCGUUUCCCAGUGUGUAUAUAGUCCCUGUCUUCCUCUCUGUCCUGGUUGGUUCAUUGUGUAUGUGUACAUCGAUGUGUAUGUUUGUGUCUUCUGUUGUUUCUUGUGAUUUUUCUCUUUUGUUGCCUUUUUUCAUGAAUCAUUUCUUGUUCUAAAUUUGCGUCUUUUUCUUUGUUAACCCGUUUCACACGUUGUGACAUAUUGUCCAGUUUUCUCCUCAUCAUUACCUCUGAAACUAACAUGGACAUUUAAAAAAACUCAUUUCCCACCUUUACAGUGUAUUUGAUUAAAAACAGUAUUGGAUAAAGAUGCUAAAAUAUGUUCGUCUUUCUGAAGUGGUCGACUCGUUCGCCGCUGGAUUUAAUUAGAAUUAAACCAUCUAUAAACUCUCGAACGUGUCAAUGAAAUCUGGGAAAUGAGAGUUCUGUGUGGCCUGGAUCUUCUCCUCACUUUAUUGUCUGUUUGUGUCUUUGAACGUUUGUGAAAGAGAAAAGUUUAAACAGGAGAAGAGACGAGCGGAGAGGGAGGAAAAGAGGGGUUAACGUUCGGGGGGAUGUGGGUGUAAAACAUUAGUGGAACCAGACUCUGGCUUCCAGAUGAAACUUCAUUUAAACCAAAUUACAGGAGGUGGUUUGUAAUGGACAACACAUUCACACAGAAGAACACUUAAAGAAGACCAGACCGCGCUGUCUGAACUGUUUGGACUCCAGUUUGUUCAGAUUUGUACCUUAAAACACAGACGGAAAGAAAAGAGAGUGUCCCUGCAGAGAUCCCUCCAUGUUUCACUAUGAUCUUUAAAUCUACUGAGGACAUUCACGGACUCUUAGACCUGAAAAUCUCCCUGAAUCAGAACUUUCUAAACCAUCUAGAAGAUCACACAACAGCUAAAAGCAGCUUAGAGUGAUAGAGAAGGAAAAGACUCUGAUAGACAGGAUUCAGGGAGGAGAAGAGACCAGAUCCUGAUCACCAGAGUCAGUGAGAUGGAAAAAUAAAUGAAGAUAUGGUCAAGAAGGAGGAGAUCUCAAAGACCCGAAUCCUGCAGGUGGAGACAGAAAACAUCAAACUGUCUAAAGGCUCAUUUACGCUCACCAUACGUAUGAAAAUGUUCGCGUCCGUUUCAAACGAUGGUUCCAUCACUGCCCACAUACUUUCAUUCGUCCUUUACGUUGGCGUAGAUGUUAACCAUUACAUCCACCAGGGGGCAGGCUUGAGUCAGAAGUUUCUGACACAACAAACAAAAAGAAACAUGGCGACCGUGGAGGAGCUAGUGAAAACGUAUAUUUUGCAUAGGAGGACGGAGAAUUCUUUUCUCUAGUCGUACCGAUGAGAGAAAUUGACAACGAUCCACAAAAAAACCUGCCAUUGUCUUCUUCGUUUCUAUCUAGAGAUGGGUAUGGGGUCGCGACAGCAGCAACACUGCCCCCACAGUUUUCUGUUGGUACUGCUUCGUCUGGUUCGUAUCCGUAAACUUCAAGGAUAUGUGCAGAGAGCUCUGUCAGUGCCUGAUCCAUAUGUAAUGUUGAGUAUAAAUGAGCCUUAAGCAGGAGCAGACUCUUACCUGCAGAGUUAAAGAGGCUGAGAUCAGGAUUGAGAAGUCAAAACAUAAGAAAGGCCUGGAGGAGAAGAAGCAGGUCCUGAUCACCAGAGUUUCCACCGGUGAAAGGCGCCGGCAGGGGUGGCAAUACUUGUUGCUCCUUGGCUCGAUGUUGGAGUUCACCUCAGUGGACGAGAGGGUAGUCUCUCUUCCUUCCUCAUCAUUGGGUUAAAGUGAUGAAGAAGAAGCCCUGUGGUCUUUGCUGCUGCUCUUCCUGCCAUAGAAAAGAGGGACGGUCUGUUCUACCCACCCCAGGCUCUGGUCCUGAAAGACAAAUGGUCUGUCUUUAAAGAGACGGAUUCUGCAUUGUGUAAAACCAGACAUAGCACCAAACAUAACUUACUGCAUAGAUCUGAUCUCCUCUAUGAUAAUCCUCUAUGAUAGGAGAAAAGUAAGUGUGAAAUUGCAUUUCUGAGUAUUUCCUCAUUCAAAUUGCUGUGAAUCUCUCACAGACGAAAACAGCAGGUUCACACACAGUGAGAUUUCCUACAUCACAAAUCCAAGCUCCGCCCCUGGAGCCCCGCUAUGCAGGUUACACUUGGAAGAAUAGAGAGGACGAUCGCGGAUCAAGCGUGUGCGUUAGCGGAUUGAAAUACUUGUAAGAAAUCUAACCAUGUUACUAACUUUCAUCAUGUCCCUAAAGACAUUAGUGUGUGAGAGCUGAAUAACUUCUAUGUUACCUGCUACUUCUACUACAUCGGCAAUGUUAGACUGCAAGCUACCGUGAAGACGAGUGUGCCGAGCAGCGCCGUCUCCACCCACGACUCAGAGGCGAAUUGCUAAUGAUCUACUGGAGCUCUGCAGAAGAAAAGCUCUUGAAAAGGACACAGGUAACAUAAGUUUGGCUAAAACUUCAUAAUCACAGUUUAAAGACCACUGAGAACACUUUCAGUGGUAAAAAGACUUCUUUGUCCCUUUCUCCUUUCGCUCACUGAAAUGUGUCACCUUGGGUUUCAAAAACUUGGCAUGUUGGAUAUUUGAGUGUCAGGGAAGGUAGUUGUUCUGUUUUUACAUAAUCUAAAGAUUUUAAAGAAAACUUGAGACUGGAUUUUCUCUAAAAGUAGUAAAUGUACUUUGUCGGUUCAGGGCAAAAGCUUUGGAUAUAUUUUAAAAGGUUCCUGAAGUACAUUUUGUCUGUUUUGUAAUUGCAGGAGCAUUUUGAAGGAAUCCUCUUUGACUUAUGUGUAAAGUUCAUCCUUAGAAGUCUGCGGCAGCUUUUGAAAUCUGAUAUAAACACUGUAAUGUUGUCGUGAAGUGACUAAUGUCUUCCAUGGAGGAGAAAUUAUCACCCUGAUCCUCUUGUCUCGUGGGUUUAGGGUGGGGGGAUUGAUUCUGUUGUUUUUAAACGCCAUCCUGCACCAAAGUCGACGCCACCACACCGCCGUCUGCCAGGGGAUUUCAGACGCUCGCCUCGCCUGCUCCCUCUCUCCUUUUACUGUGCGGUGGAGUCACUCCAUCCAAGUCUCAGGAACAAGACAAGAGCUAAUAAGUGUGGGCUGCACAGGAGCACCUACUGUAGGUUUACAGCCUCUGUGGCACAUCCAGAUGUUUGGUGAAGUCUGGAUAAAUAUAGACUCUGUCACACCGCUUCAUUCUGCAAACAUUUUCCUAACCAGAAUCUGAAUUUUAUUAUAAACUCUCGCCGUGUUCAGCUGUAAACAAGAGAGCGGCUGCAGAGCGUGAAGCAGACGGAGGACUGUGAAUGUGUCCCACAGAGAGGACGAGUGCUCUUAAUGUCCCGUUAAACUCUGAGUCUGACCUCGGUAAAACAAGAUCCAGCACAGAAAUACUCGAAUACAGAGAAAAUCAGUGAUGGUGGAGGUGUGUGCAAGAAGUUCAUACAUUUAGAUCCAUCUCAGUCAAAAUGAUAACACUAAAGUUUAGUUCUUAUGUGAGUAAAAAAAAAUUUUUGUUUGUAAAUUACAGAGAAAAAGUUCAGAAUAUUUUGCUUCACUUGAAAAUUCUUCCACUCAGCCGACGUGUUGAAGUUUGAAGUUUGUGUUUAUGAUGUCAAGGGUCAUAUUUCUGUAUUUAUGAACUCUGUGUGUUUAUUUAGGGUAUCAAAUCAUGACACCGUGAGUUACCUGGUGGAUUAUGUUUGGUAAAGGUAGAAAUGAAAGCCGCACUGGACUAAUGAGAAUAAAUUGAUCAACUCUACAAUUGAUUGGUCCAGAGGAAGGGGCGGAGCUUUAUCACAGCUCAUGAGAUUGAGAAUGCGUUUACACGUGCCCGGCUAUUUUCAUAAAUGGAUAUUUAACCCUCUAUGUUUAUGUUUUCAGAAAAGUUUUCGUUUACACUAACCUAUGCUGUCAAGAGCAUGCCAAACCUGUAGGUGGCAGUGUAGUGAGAAGCUCAAGCCUACAUUAGCCAAUCAGAUUCUCAGUUUCCAGUGCACAAUCUGCCGUCGGCAACUGAAAUCUCGUUUGCCUCCAUUUUUCUCUGUUAACAGGCAAACGUACAAACAGAGUUUUUCAAAAUCUCCACUCUGGUCAGAGUUUUUAAGUAUCAUUUUCAGGGGCGAAUUUUCUGCGUUUGCAUCCAAACAAAGGAUGCAAACGAUGGUUAAUGUCUCAAUUUUUAAAAAUAACCAGGUACGUAUAAACAGGGCCUAAGUGCAUCGCUGGUCUUACUCUUCAUGCUGCACACCUGAGUGUUAUCAGCCCUCAGGUAAGAGGAGGAGGUUCAAUUUGCAGGGAGCUGGAAGCUGGUUGCUUGAGGUUACAGGUAGUCUAGUUUUCAGUCUUUUGGUUUGUAGUUUAGUUUUUGGCUCCUGUAUUUAGUGACAGGUGUUCGGAGCGACGGUCCAUGAAAUGGCAGGCCCAACACCUUUCCGUCUUUAGUUCAUUUUUGGCUCCUCCAGAUAUGUUUGCUGUCUUUGGUGCUAGUCUUUGGUAGAGAGGCUGUAACAUACAGACAUUUAAAUCGUAAAAAAAAAGCAUUCAGAGUCAACUCAAACCAUUGCACUAUUGUAUCCAUGGAUCUUCUCUGCAACAAAAGCCUCAAAAAAUCAAAGAUUUUGAAAAAACUAAAAAAAUGUCAUGCAAACUUUUGCAUCGUUGAAUUUUCAGUGAUCCGUUCAUCCAAACUCAAACUGCCUCUGACCCAGUUUGAUUCACUGAUUCUCAUCAAAUCUAUGUCCUGCAGUAAAAUAUGAAGUAUUUCCUCUGAAUGUGGAAACACUGUAAAUUAUUCUGAGCAGCUCUGGACUGAAUUUUCUUUACGACUGUGUCUUUUGCUCCACAUUUACACUUUUUCCUUUUUCCUAUGGAGAUAUGAGGUCAGGCGGGAUGAUGAGGGCUUCUUCUUUUAUCGUUUCUGGACUCAUCGAGCAUUCCUCCUCCUCCUCCCCGCUUUAAGAGCUGUCUGACGUUUACGGCCUGCAGCCCGGCGGCCGGACUCCGGCGGCAGCAGGUUUUUGCAGCGGUGGCGAGUGGAAAGAAAGAAAGGCGAGGGAGGUCACGUUAUUAAAAGCAACUUCACUGCUGCUUAUUAUCUUGUGUCAGGGUUUUUCAAGAGGUGUGGACAUGGGAGUAUUUACGAGCUCUGUUUUUAAUAGACUGUUCCUCUUAGACUCAAACAAAUGCCUCUCAUUAUGUCUGCAGUAAUGGCUGGUGGCAGCGCUCUGAUCCACCACUACAGACCAUUAACAUGCUGCUGUGGGAGUGUUAAUCUCUCACACUCUCAGACACAUUCCCCAAAGCCUGACCGAGACCAAAACCACUCCGCUUCUCCUCUCGAAGAUGUUAGAUUUCAGGGUAACCUCCUCACCUGGCCUUCACAUCCAGACGGAGCAGCUUUGGGGGGGUAAAGUAAAUAAAAAGUGAGCUCACAACCGGGGAAAAAAUGUAGGAAAUCUCCGAGCUCCAAGGCCCAACAUGAGGAGAGAGCUGCAGGCGGGAUGCCAUGUUUGGAAUAAGUGAGAGAAAAAUGGAAGUCUUUUUGAAGGGACAAGGUUAAAAGAAUCAUUUUGGUUUAGUUUCCAUAAUCAUAAACUUGGAAUAUGUAAAGGUCUCUAUUUAAAGUAGAAUAUUAGCCAAACGGUGAUGGGAAAGUUGGCGUUCAAACCAUCUCUGAGGCUGGUGAACGCAGCUUUGGUCCUGUAACCUGUUUCUUAACACAGAAAUGCGUCUUACUGCCAGAUCAAGUACGAAAAGUGAAACUGAAUAAGUCACAAAGUUGAAACUUUACUGCCUGCUUUACGACCUGCAGGUAUUGAAACAAAACUGACCUGAAUUAGACCCUUCUGUUUGUAGUUUCAGUCGUGUUUAACCAAUCAGAUAUCUACAGUCUGUAUGGAGAGCAAAAGCAGGAGGAUCACAGUCCACCAUAAUCUCAUCCGUCAUCUCCCAUGGUUGUUAAUCUGUGGCAGAUUUAUUCCUCUCUAUAGAUAUCUGUAUGUAAGUGUAGCUAACUGUUCUAGAGAGACAAUCAGUCGGUGUGUUUACAUGCACAAUAUAAUUGGACUAAGCUCAUAAUUUGUUUUUUUCGUUGAAUCGGACGUCUCUCCUUGUCCGUGUUUACAUGCAGCUGAGAAAAUCGAGUUAUUGAGGUGAACAUGUCCUCCCCAAAACUAGGGGGCGAUAUGGGCCUUUUCAGCGGUGCUGUUUCCGGACCGCUUUUAAAGAUGUCUCCGUUCCUUGUUUUGCGACCGUCCAUAUACUUUAAAAUAUCCAUUUCUCUCAGGAGGGAAAGCGUAACAGCACUCUCCUCGUCGUUCCAAAAGAGGACAUUCUUUUGUUCAGCCAUGUUACAGUUGCUUCUGAGACAAAAGUUCUUUAAAUGAUAGUGCCACUUCUUCUCUUGUGUUUUUGUUCAAGGGUUACAGGGGGCAUGGCGCACGCACACAUGGAUUGUCCGAUCAUACUCUGACUACGCUGGUUACACGGUAGAGGAAAUCAAAUUCCAAUUGCAUUAUCUGGGUGUCUUAAUCUGAGUUCUCCAACUCCAAUCGGAGUUCUCAAACUACGAUUAUAGUCAGAUUAAAGUGAUUACAUGCACUUCAGUUGUCCAGUCUUAAUUGGAGUAAAUCAAUAAUUCUGUUUUCUUGAGUGUCAUGUAAACGUACUGAGUGUUUAGAUUUCCUGACUUCCCUGAAUGCAUCAGAAACGAUGCCUCGAACCUCCAUUCAACAAACAUUUUAGAAGCUGCUUCAAAUGGUCAGCCAUUGUUCACAGAGACAAACCAGACCUCAACCAUAGUCUCGUUUUUUACUAAAUCCAACUGAAUCCUUUCAUUGUGAAGGACUCUGAAACUUUUAUUUUGAAAUGCCGAUCUCUUUCCUGCUCUCGGUUUCGGUCCUGGUGUUUUUUCGUGCAUAUUUUCCAUCGCUGACUCCGAUUCAGUAUCUGCCUUCACUCUGCCUUCUCCGUCAAUGAGCUGAUUGACUGUUUCUAUAUUGAAUAUUAGUCAUUGUGCAAACACUAUUUACGACUCCUGGAACCUGCAGCUAAGAAAACACAGGUUUCUUAAACCCACAAAUCCAGGUGAAUCACUCCCACUUUAUUCAGCCAUUACAUCACACCUUCUCAACACAAACUCUCAAAUGGGCCUGAACAGAAGUGCAGACAAAUUAGCUUAAAUAUGAAGUGUGGUGAAGAGAAGGAGCCAUGAUACCCGGCUUAAUUAGAGCCUCAAAUCCUUCACUUUUUGAGCUUUUAUUUUGACACACAGAAAGGAAAACUCUCAAAGGUCAGAGCAAUUAUAGCACAAAUGAAUGAAAGCAGUGUAGCUAUGGCAUGGAGUUCAAACAGGGCUCGGAGUCGACUGCAAGGGUGGUCAGGCUGCUUGGCACGGCGGGCGAUGACGUGACACGUCAAAUAAAUGUCCGCACACAAACCCGGGGGGCUGCGAGAAAAAUGCACUUAAAGAAGCCGAGUCUUUGCGCUCAGUCUCGCUGCUUUUUGGCUGUUCAGGGUGUAAAAGUGUCACAGGUUGUAAUUGUCUAACAGUUAGGGCGCUUAGCAGCCAGGAGGUGGUGAAAUCAAUAUAAUCCUGAGGAAAGACUGACUUCAAACGGGCUGCAGGGCGACAAAAUGAGCUCUGAGAGCAGGAAAAUGAGCAUACAGUCAGUGUCCUGGAGUCACUUCCAGGAGAAAAUCAGAUACUCUGUGGGUGACUUUUCCUGCCGUACCUUUUGAUUUUUUUCUGGCAGAAACUAAAAUUAGACUUUCUAGACAAAUCACUUAACAGAUUCACUUCUUUCUAAAAAAAAUGGCUUCAAAACCUUCUUAACUGACACAAGGUCAUCCUUAAGGAACCAGAAUCUGCACCUCUGAGGCUGGAAGUGAAGGUUAUUUUCAGUUACCUGCAUGAUGUCAGUGACAGCAUCACAUGUGAAGCGUCACCGGUAUCCACAGGUAUAAUUUGACCAACGCUGCAAUGACUCAAACCAAAGUCAUUUAAUCUGACGGUUUCACAGUGUUAAUCACAGGUGCGAGGUCGUGUCAGUUGUGUCAUCUGCCAUCGGCGAAGGUUGUAAAUUUAGAAACAUUCAUGUGUGUCAUAUCAGAGUUUAGGAACAACCGACCAAUGAGGCGGUUUUGGUUGGAGGGGCUGUAAACGGCUGACAAUGAAGUCUAUGUGGAUUAGUUUGAUGGUCAUUAUCUAUAGUUUGGAGACUCCUUUAUUGUAAGGGAUCAUGUAUAGUUGACAAAUGGUUAUGCUAUAAAUAGAAUACAGAGAGGACGAGGUAAGACCCAAACACCAAGCUGUAGUUAGUAGGCAGGUUUGAUUAUUCGGCUUUUUGUUAGCUCUAUGAUUUAACACUGGAGGUCACAGCUUGGUCUCAACUCUUCGGAUCCUCUACCUUCAGCUGCCAUGACCCUCACUCAUCGUAAACUAAGACACAUUAACAUGCAACCUAUAUAUUGCAUGUGGAGUUCCUCAAGGCUCUAUUCUUGGUCCUCUUAAGUUUUGAAUCUUCAUACCUUGUUUUAGCUCAAAUAAUAAAAGGGCAGCAAAAUAUCUCACUCAAAACUACGUUCAAAUACAUUCCAGGAGCAUGUACAUUACAGACCCACUCUGAUGAAAAUCAUGUUUUUCUUGUUGUCUACGUGUUCAUAUGGCCUUUUUCUGAUACUACUCGACAUAUCAUGAGAAAAAAACAAGAGCAAAAUUGCAUCUCUGAGUAUUUCUGCAUUCAAAUUGCUGUGAAUCUCUGGCAGACCCAAACGGCAGACUCAGAUACAGUGAGAUUUCCUAUGUCACAAAUCCAAGCUCCGCCCCCAGAGCCCCGCUAUGCAGGCGAGACUCAAAGAAAUAGAGAGGACAAUUGCAGAACAAGUGUGUGCGUUAGCGGAUUGAAAUGCUUGUAAAAAAGCUAAUUAUGAUAUUAACUUUACCUCCUAUGUUACCUGCUUUUUCUACUUCACCAGCAGUGUUAGGCUACAAGCUAGCGUGAUUCCGCCUGAGUAUUAUCCGCCCACGAGCUACUGGAGCUCUGCAGAAGAGAAGCCCCUGAAAAUGACACAGGUAUUGUGAUUUUGAUUAAACCCUAGUUUUUCACUGUAAAUCUCAAAGGAGUUCCUCAAGGCUCUUUCCUUGGUCCUCUUAAGUUUUGUGUCCUCAUGGCUUUUUUUUUGCAGAUGACGAAAUAGUCCACUUAGAACCAGAAUCAAACAAAACCCAGGAGCAUCAGUCUUAUUUUUCAUGCUCACCUCCCACACUUACAUUUCAUUGGGUUUAGUUAGUUGAGGUAACGUUCCUGGCUUCUGGGUUUCGAGAAUCUAGUCUGAUGACAUUUACCAAACAAAACAAAUGACUUAUUUGUUAGAAGUUAAACGACUUUCAGGCUACAGAAAAACCUUCUUACAAUAAUGACUAACUUCAUAAUUCACUCCUCAUCCUUUAUAUUAUUUAGACCUCAGAGUAAUUCUGCUGACAGCUGUGGUCAGCUUGUCUGCCCACUCUCUCCUCGGUUAUUCCUCCAGCCGAGACUCAAACCCCGUCUUCAGCUGAUCAGCAGUCAUGCUCCUAACAAGCCGCCCACGCCUUGCAGUCACUUGUUACCCAAGUAAUUGGAGAAAAAGUCAGUUAAUCAGAAGGGUGAGUGGAGAUGGAGCUGAAUCAUCUCAGAUGGCAGCCAAUCAGAGUCGAGAGCCUCGGCAGGGUCCACCCUUCGGGGAGAUGUUAUGCUCCACAUCCUGGAACAGCCGGUCACUUUUUCCCCCCAAACUUAAAGCUAACAUAAUUAUUGAGAGGUUGAGAGGCCGACACAUGCCAGGCUCUACCUACUGGUUGGAAAAGCUGUAGUGAAAAUCAACACACUUAAUGACACCUGAAUUCAGGGUCAGACCCUGCCUGCCCUCUGAGGAGUUGAGGAUAUGACCCACCCGGCCCAACCCCCCAAAGGAUCCAAACUGUAAACAACCUGCCAAGGUCUACCUGCACAGAGGAGCUGCUGCCUGAGAAUCAACAGGCUUAAUGACACCUUUAUUAGUCAUGCAGUCAGACGCCCCUGGUGGCAGGCAGGGCUCUCCCCAUCAAGCUUUGGAAACUUUGGAUCACUGCUGACUAACUCUUGUGUUUACAUACCACAGAAGGCCAACGCUGGAGCUGCUGCUGUUCAUACCAACACAGGAGGAAGGGUUUCUGUGUGGUUAAUCCUUGUUUUAAAAAUCUUAAUGCCAUUAAGUAGAAAAGUACAAGUUAGCUUGACUAAAGUGCGGGGAAUUGGGAUGUAUCCGCUCCAGUUUGUGUUACCUUUGAUUGGUGUUUUGAGAUUUUCCAUCUGCUCCAGUGUGAAGAUGUCAAAGGUUCAAACAAGACACACCACCUUCUCUGUUGGUGAAAGUUGGCGCUUUUUUUGUUGUUGCUGUUUAUGUCGGGUUUGCUUUAACAUUUAUCUUCAUAAACCACUUUUUCAACAAUUUUCACAGUUUAUUACAGGAAUUAUAUUUCAUGGUACCGGUGGGAGCUCUUCUGGAGGGCUUGCCAAUUUUGUUCAUCAAACUAACCCCAAUUUUCCACCACAUCUAGAACAGCUCCAAUCUGGAACAGGAAUUGGCGGAUUUUCGCCAUCCACCAAUUCCAUCUGGUUUGUCCGUUUGAUUUCAUGGCAAAUUACGGACAGCAGGAAUCACGAGAACUCAAAAGAACCUGCGGAUUCACUUGCAAUCGCACAAUAAUGAGUUGCCUCGAUAAAGACAGACACAUAAUCAUAUAAGCAGUAGAUUGUGUCCUUCCAGAGGAGGAAAUCCACUUCUAGACUUCUAGAAUCAGCAUCUCCUCAUCCAUGGUGUCAAAUGACGUCUGAAAACCUUUUCCUUGUUCAUCCCCAUCCCCUGUGCCCGACUUCCUUUCCAGCACGGAUUAAUCUGUGCUGAAUUUUUGAACGUCCAAAAAAAUCAAACUUUUGCGAUUGGCUGUGAAGUUCACUUAUCUGCAGCAGAACGGAAAGUAGGCGGUGGAAAUUGACACUUUAACUUGAAUGGAAACGAUCAACUGUGAUCGGCGGAUAUGGCCUUUUCGUAGCCAUUCCGGAUGCCGUAGAAAUUGGGGGUAAGAAACAAAAGAUUCCCUUUGAAUUUGUGACAUUUUCUGCAACUGAAUUCAAACCCUUGUUGAAAAGACAACAAGAAAAUUUUGUAAACAGCUGAAAACACCACUAAACAGAACUUUUAGGACCUUCUUCAGGAGGCUGAAGAUGUGGCGCCCAUCCUUCUGUCUGCUCCAUCUACUUCUGGACAGUCUCAGCAGAUGAUUGGUUGUCAGCACAGAGUCAUCAGCUGAUUGACUUCAUCUGCAGCUAACGGGGUAUAAAAGCUUCCUGGUGUGUUCGCUCAGCUGACAUCCACCCUGCAGAAACUUCCUCCAACAGCUCUCAUGCCACACAGACACGGACUGGAUGCUUUGCAGAUUUCAUCACCCUGUUGAUUUGUGUUCGCUUUAGUUUUAUAAAUUAUGUUUAAGUAAAUCUUUUGCAUGGACUUUCUCCAGUGUGUGACAUCAGUCAUCAGAAAAUCCGGGCAAAUGUUGCACAUGCAUGAGACCUCCUGGGAUAAAAUAAACACAGGAGGUUCAAACGAGCCAAUCAGAGGCUGCGCUCACUCUCUGUAUGUUCUCCAGAGCCAGAACGAGGGUCCAACUGUGCUGAAAGUUAUUAUGUUUGACAUUUUUGGGGGCAUUUCUAUGUUUUGGGUGGAGUUCAAGUUUCAGAAACAGGAUUUUCAUGUGCAGUCAUGUUGUGUUAUGAAAUAAUGUAAAUGUUUGGCAGGGGGAAAUAUAAUUAGGAGCAGGGGAGUUGUGGGAAUGCAACAUGUUAAGUUGCCAUAAUACCCCCACAAACAGAGCAGACAGAGCUGUAUCCAUGCAGCCUGUUUAACACUGAACACGACUGAUGAGCAGCCGCAGCGCUCAGCUCCAAACUGCAAUCAGCACCGACGGCAGCCGGCCAGCCCAGUUACACGUUUACAAGCAAUUAAAAAGCGAUUUAUCAUCCUCUUCUUAAGGUGCCUAACUACAGUCACACAGUCGCCUGGUCUGCGGUGCACUCCUAAAUAUGCUCCGCGGAGUGGCCCAGUUUUUAAUGAAGAGGGGAGAGUCAGCAGAGUUCUGGUUUACAGUGACCUGCUGCUGAAACUGGACAGACAAAAACACUCCAACUGCAAAUAUGAGGAACACAGGACAUUCUGACUUUUACAUCUGCAGUAAAAGGACACUGGCUUUUAAAGUGUGCACUGAUUAUACUCUUCUUAGAGGACGCAGGGUCCAUGAUUUCCAUAAAGACUGUCAAACAUGGAUUUGUCAGAUAACAGGACAGUUUUUAUCUUCUCUUUAGUUCAUCUCAAAUAUGCUCAGGUCCAGAGAAGUCUCUGGUGUUUCUCGAUCAUAUUUGUACCUCGCUUCCUUGUCAGGGUAGAAGAUGUGGCGUCCAUGAUUUCCAAGAAGAAUGUCAAAUUUGAAUUAAUCAGACCACAAGACGAUCUGGUUUUAUAGGAUAGUGGUUAUUUUGAGCCCAUGUGGUGUUUCCACUACAGAGUCCUGUCUGUUUUAAUGCAGCAACCAUCCAGUCUCUGUUUUUGGUCCUUGUCCCUUUUGCACAAAGAUUUCUCCAGAUUCUCAGGAUCUUUUUAAUAAUAUUAUGUUCUGUAGAUGAUUAAAUCUGUUAUGUCAUACCACUAACCUUUUGGAAAUUAACCUCAUUAGCUGAGAGAUGUUCCUCCAGCUGUUUUGUUUUACCUGUUUGGUUGUUCCUCCAGCUAUUUUUAAUAAUACUUUAAUGGCAUCAAAGUUGAAAUGAGCUCAUAUUAUUCAUAAAACUAGAAAAGCACUUGGAGAGCGCAGACCUCCACCAAGCAGCUCACAGUAUCCGGAAUUUUGUCUGGAUCAGGAUCAACCUUUGACACCUCAUAAAACUCAUUGAGAUCCUUUUGUGUAUUUUUUUACUAAAGACUCUGGACAUUUUUAUAGAGUUAAAUGCAGGAAUUCCAAAAUUUGCCCUAUCUCACAAUGAUAAAGAAUCCUUCAAAAAAUUCCUGGAUCCAGAAGGCGAUCCGGAUCACCACCAAAAUAUAAUAGGAUCCUCCUGGGGCUGAGACGCAAAUAAAUUUUCAGGUCAAUCCUUCUGUAACUUUCUCCAUAAGGUUGUUAACAGACAAACAAACAAACAAACAAACAAACAAACAAACCAACGCUACCGAAAACAUAACCUCCUUGGCAGAGGUAACAAUAAAACUUUUCGGUUCAAACAUUUGAUAUGUUGUCUUUGCAUUAUUUCCUAUAGGAUAAAGGUUUUUCAAGAUUCAAGAUUGGUUUAUUUGUCAUAUGCAGGUUAAACAAGGUCAACGAUGCAAUGAAAUGCCCUGGAUGAGAAGGACCGCUUGACCCAAAGAAGUACAGAUAAAAACACACAAUAAGUACUAGGAAGAAUACAAUAAAAUAAGGAUACAAAAAUAUAAAGAAGUAUAAAAGUAUAAAAGAAAUAUUUACAAAGUGCACAAGUGAUGCAGUAGGUGUGGGUUUAAGUGAUUUGAAAUGAUAUCUGUUUUUGUUGGUAUUUUCCUGCAGCAUCUUGACUUUUCUGAAGUUGGGAUUAUAGUUGCAUCUGCAGGGGAAAGACAGCAAUCAGUCGAAAAACAUGUCAGAUGAUUUAGAAAUGUUGGCGUAAAGCCACCUCAUCAUAGAACCACAUGACUCUUUUUUUUGGGUUGCUUUUACCUGUGGAUCUGCAGAUCAUGUUUUUGAGAAAGCUUUGGGCCACUACUUGUCUAAUACUAACACUCAGCUUGUUAGUCUUUGGACCUGAUCCCUGUUAAGAGGAAUAAGUCUUAAAAUAACUUGUUGUGUUUGUCAGACAUGAACAUCUGAUGUUCCCAAACUGAGGACGAGGUGAGUGGGUUCAGGAGUGUUUAACAACCUGCCUCUCUCCUCCUCCUUCUCUUCCUCCUCCUCCUUCUCCUCUGCCUCCCAGUAGCCAUCGGCAGCCUGCAGCGGUUUGUUAGAGCAGAGCUCAUUUAGUGUUUUACACACUUCUUUAAAUGACUUUGAGCCUGGCUGGUUUCCUGUGAGCGACCAAACCCGCCCAUGGAGGCGACAGCUUCGCCCUGCGCCUGUAACCACAACACCACAACAGCAGCAUGAGUCACUUUCAGGCUGCUAAUAUGUUUGUCUCUCUAUAUGAGAGCCAUGAAGGAGAUUAAAAACAACACUUGACAUGUUGUAGUUUUAGUUAGAGUGUAGACAGGAUCUGAAACGACCAAUAAAAGACGUCUCGGAGCAGAAAUUGUUGCCAUGUUUGGAUGUUAACAUGAAGAUGGAUGUUCAUGACUUUCCUUUUCGGAGCUUUCAACUACAUCUCCAAGUCUUCCUCUGCAGAUGGAGC